UAGAACAGCAGAGGGAGUGAGGUUAGGGGAAGUAUUGUAAGGGGAAGAAGAAAGAUGAGAGAUCUCUUCAUCUUUCUUCUUCCCCUUACAAUACUUCCCCUACCUCACUCCCUCUGCAAGUAGUG